rnacentral:lncRNA from 1 species
GCUCAAGCCAGGAAUCCUGCUUGUUUUGUGUCUAACAAGGUUCAAAUGGAGUUCAGGGAUCACCACAACUAUCUGAAAGGCAAACACUUCAUUUGAGUGUGUAGGAAGAGAAAUUGAAACACGUGAUAUUUUAAAAAUAUCACGAAGUCACACUUUCUCAUCUCUUUAGCAAAGGAUUUCGCUACCUCCAAGAGUGCUAACAAAACUCACCGGCAUUUUAGAAACCAAUAACAACAUGAACACCAUUGAUAACAGUUGUAUUUCUCAUAGCUGAGACGCUGCAGUUACCAAGAUUAUUUCACAGAUGGAAAGUUUACGAAGUUGAAAUUUACUCCUGUGCUGCUGUCUGCCCCCUUAUCAGUACAUUAUACUUCGUUACAGGAAUCCAACUUUUCUUAGUUUUUAAAAUGUUUCAUUAUAGCUUUCACUCGGUAUUGAGGCAACCACCUGGUCAGUGGGAAAAGCACACUUUCACCUUGCUAUUUCAUUCCUACCCCCCUUCCCUUCAAGAGCAAAAAAGGAUUAAAAUUCUCUUCAGAUACCUAAGCUAUAUUAAAUGUUCAGAGAAAACAGUGCUGCUUAGUUCCAAGUUAUACUAUCGACAUAUAAUGGAAACCCUGUUUUUUGAAGGUUUUACACAGAUUAAGGGAUAUUUAACCAAAAUUAGGACAUAUUUUCAAGUUGUCCAGGAUCACAUUCUACUCUUAGUGCUGAUGCAAACUGAUAAACUUGAUUCGCGUAUACUCUAGUAAAUCAGAAACUUUUACAGCACAGGUAAAGUGUUGCAGGAGCAAAGAUUUGGAUCUGUUCUUAAGCUCUUACUUGUAAUUAAGAGUCCUAGGCACACAGCAAAGCCAUGCUCUGACUCCCAGAAUAUCAGUAUGUGCAGUUGGAGGAUUUGGCAUCUCAAGAGUCUGUGAAUUUUAAACUGGCACCUUUUCUACAAAGAUAGGAUAAACUUGCCAUGAAAGAUUUGUUACAUCCGAAUGGAAGCACAAAAAUAAUCUUCUUUGAAAAAUGUCAGUAGUACUUCACAAACCAAGGCUAAUUGAAAUCUAAGAUUGAAAAUUUAUGUUAAUUGUAACUCCCAAUUUUAAUCAUUAGUUUUCUGAAAAUGCUUUCUUUUAUGUCAAAAUCUCCCACACCUAGCCAAAACCCACAGUAAACACCAUCAAACACAUGAGCCUAAUAGAAAGGGAAGUAUCAAAGCUAGGGAAACUGGAUAUUAGAAAAGGGAUAGUUUUUUAGGCAUCCAAAGCCAUAUGCAAUUGACUUGGAAGAUUUUUCAGAGUAUUUAUGUAUUACUCUUUUUUAAAAAUUAAAACCAAGGGAAGAGAUGUUGUAACACUUGAAAAU